ACGGAAGUCAUGGGAUCUCGCACUCGGACAGGAGCUCGCUCUCUCUCUCGCUGCCUGGCAGCGGGUGUGGGUGUGCUUCCAAGCAGUGCACCUUCAGUUCAAAGUUUUAUGAAGAAGGUUUCUUAAAACAUUUAUAUGUCUACUCGUCAGUAAACUGUGAAUUGCACAGAAUCGCAGGUGCUGGAAGGGACCUUAAGAGAUCAGUGAGUCCAACCUGCUGCUAAAGUAGGUUCCCUACAAUGCAUCUCACAGAGGAAAAAAAAAUGAAUUGGACACAAAUAUUAAAAAUAAGUCAGACUUUAGACAUCAUUUCUUAUAGAGUGGACAAGCUUUCAGCUCCUGGAUGAUAUGGCCACAAUGAUCUCUCUCUGGACUCCCUCACCAGACUGGGAUUUGGUGAGGUGCAACUGUCACAGAUUAGAGAUACUGUCUUCUGAAAAUGAAUUCUGCUAUCAUCUCCUGUUACUGACAUCCACCUCAGGACAAACAGUUGACUAAUGGGAAGCAAACAAGCUUUUAUGACAUAUCCUGACAUAAGUAUUUUUGGACCCAUCAUACUUUUUGCAGAACCCUACUCGAGUCUCCUAAUUUGCAUUACAUUAAUUACUGAAAUAUUACAUUACAGUGCUCUAACACAGCUAUAUGAAAUAGCUGACUAGUUUUACUUGUACUAAUUAGAAGUAGAAGCAAAUAACAAUUUUCUUUGUAAGAUAAUAGGCAAUUAUAGAUUUUUUUUUCCCAAUGUAAUGUUUUCAGUCUUUCAGUGAUUGCUUAUUUUACUGUAAAAUUCUUAUCUUCAUUUCUUUUUAGCAAUAAAUAAAUAAAUUAAAGCAUUAGUAUUCUGAUACUAUGCUAAAAGGAAAGAAAGAAAAAAAAAGAGAUGCCAUGCCAUUUGGUCUAGGAAUAUAGGCAAAAAUCUAAGGGUACUAUUAGCCUUCGAGUCACUUUUUUCAAAUGUCAUUCUUUGAGGAUGAAAACAUGUUGGCUUUGUAAAGCGCUUAACAUUUCAAGCUGAAAGGCUUGAACAAGCUUUGAACUCUGGAAUUUGUGAUGACUAAAAAUUAAAGGGAGAAAUAACAUUAAAUAAUACUGUAGCUUGUGAAGCUGUCUUUUUAAGUGUCUGAGCAUCUCCUCAAAUGUACAGUUUUUCUCGGAUCGACUUUUAAACCAAAGAACCCUAUGUAUCCCAUGGAGUGUUGUUGCUUUAUUUGGAAAUAUUCUUCUAUGUUCUAUGAGGCAGAAAAUGAAAGUGAAGUCUUUGUGAUGUGUGAAUAAACAGCUGGCUAUCUGAACAUUUCUCUGUCCAUAGAUACUGAAAUGUGCCUGUGUAAGCAGAGUUCACCACUGAUUAAAACACCUUUGUGGCUGAGCUGUGUAUCUGCCCUCCUUGACUAGUGGCCCCCAGCUCUUCAAGAUGCUGGGGCCUCCGGUCAAGAUUUAGCUGUUUGCAAUAAAAAGCUGUGUGCUUCAUCUUCUGCCCUUUGAAAAAUCUAUUUCUUUUUGGUUAUGUUAUUUCACCCUCUCACACCAUCCCUCCUUCUGUCAUGGUUUUGUAAUUUUGCUAUUGGUAUUUCACAUCAUAACAUCAUGUAAAGCAUGGGUAAUUAAAGAGUUAAUACUCCAGUUCCAUGGGCUAAUACUUCAGUUCCAUGGGCUGACAACUUUCUGGAUACCUACUUCUCAAAAGAGAAGAAGAACUACAUAUCCCAGGAGACCUCACGGUCAGAGAGGAAGAUACGUCACGGAAGUCAUGGGAUCUCGCACUCGGACAGGAGCUCGCUCUCUCUCUCGCUGCCUGGCAGCGGGUGUGGGUGUGCUUCCAAGCAGUGCACCUUCAGUUCAAAUCCUCUGCAACUAUAUCUCCAAAGAGGGUCAUCCUGA